ACUACCGAAAAUCAGAUUUACACAAGAUUGAACUAUCCAUCUAAAGAGGGAAGGGGAAGAGGAACUAAGAUUCUGUAAGAUGAUAAAUAAGUUAUGCAUGUGAAAUCUUCAUUCACAAGCUCAUCAUCCCAUGAGUUGAAAUUAUGUAAUUUUAAAGGACUCGGAGCUGGGCAAGGAAAGCAGCACAAAGAUCCAGGAAAAGGAACUGGGGGCCUUGAACCCUCUGUAGAUCAAGCAAAUACUUCUCUUCGCGUGUUUUGUACAGCUGUACUUCAAACUUAAUAACAUUCGGCGAUUUUACAACGCCAUCGUUUUCAAUGAUGGUAGACUCGUCCCCAAAGUAAUGAUUACUAUGCACAGGGUUGUUAAUCAUGCCUUCAUGAUGGCCUGGAAUUCCAGGCAACCAUCUACAUUUCAUAUUAUAGUGCCCAAUCUUCUUCCAAGCCACAUUGAGCUCUCGUAGGGCUUUAAG
rnacentral:misc_RNA from 1 species